rnacentral:lncRNA from 1 species
AGAUCUUCAGUCUUGAAGGAGAAUCCGGCUUCUGAGAUGGAUAAAUUGGCUUUCUUUAAGUAAUUCAUUGCCUCCCACUCUGUGUGUUUUCUAGGUGCCCUUCUAGGGUGUUUAUAUAGGCUUUAGCAUGCUUCCAAACCCUCAAAAGUGGCCUUUUCCGAAUAGAACUAGACUUGGGCUCGAUAGGGACACGGCCGUGUGAC